rnacentral:rRNA from 1 species
CCUACGGGUGUCAGCAGUGGGGAAUAUUGCACAAUGGGGGAAACCCUGAUGCAGCGACGCCGCGUGAAGGAAGCAGUAUUUCGGUAUGUAAACUUCUAUCAGCAGGGAAGAAAAUGACGGUACCUGACUAAGAAUCCCCGUCUAACUACGUGCCAGCACGCGCGGUAAGACGUAGGGGGCAAACGUUAUCCGGAUUUACAGGGUGUAAAGGGAGCGUAGGCGGUUUAGCAAGUCAGAAGUGAAAGCCCUGGGCUCAACGCCGGGACUGCUUUUGAAACUGUUGAACUAGAUGGCAGGAGAGGUAAGUGGAAUGCGUAGUGUAGCGGUGAAAUGCGUAGAUAUUAGGAGGAACACCAGUGGCGAAGGCGGCUUACUGGACUGUAAAUGACGCUGAGGCUCGAAAGCGUGGGGAGCAAACAGGAUUAGAUACCCGAGUAGUC